GGACCUCGGCUGGUGGCCUGCCUGUCCCUCUCACCUGCCCGACAAGGUUGCGGGAGCCUCUGCUGGGAAACAACAGUGGUGAACUAGCAACUGUUUCCCGGCAACCGUCUCCUGGCAACUGUGAUCCAGGGGAGCCCAGAGGUGGGCCCUAAAUCCAGUGACCAGCAUCCUCCCAAGGGGGGCAGAGAGAAGAGGAGGAGGCCGUGUGAGUGGGAGCCGGGGCUGGCCGUGGCAGGAGGCACCUGCCCUGGAGCCUCGGAGGGCGCGGCCUACCCACACCUUGACUUGGGGCUUCUGGCCUCAGAACAGUGAGAGAAUAAAGUUGUUGUUUUAAGCCA